CAUAUACUUGAAACUAUGAUCAAUGAUCUAAAGCUUGCACUCCAAGUUGGAAACCCUGCCUUCAAGGAUGACAUCUUGAUAUGGGGAUGCAAAGUUCCCGUUGUUCCCAGAAACUCAUACGGUCCCCUGUCUGGUUAUUUGGUUUUCAAUUUAGUGCACUCAUGGCACGAUGGGACGCUACAUUUUCCAGUACCCAAGGAUGUUUUUGAACUGAGGAAGCGGGUUUUGGUUCAUAUUUUGAAGUGUGAAGAGAAUGAAGUUCUAAACAAUAUCCCGGUCUUAGAACGAAGCAUCAUAGAUCGCAUC
rnacentral:rRNA from 1 species